GUAUGGUCCGGUUCAGUUCCUGCAGUGCUGUUGUCGUGGGUGGACGUGCCGGAUAUAUUUUUGGCAGUUUGGACAACUUUUCGGUGAAAUUUCAAACUUCUUUUCCACAAGUUACUUCAUGGAAUGCCUGCGGCGACCGUCGGGAUAUUCCAGUGGUGGAUUUAUUCUGUUUUGUGACGUUUCGAGGAGGAAGCGAGGAUUUCUGGACCUAUUUUGGACCGAACCUGACAACAAAAAUAUGGCGAGACUGCAUGUUGGACAGACGGCGUGGUGGGCAGAUUAACUCAUACAAGCAGUGGAAGGACAGUCCUAAGAGUUAGGAUUCUUGCCAGUGUCUGAUGCAGUAGUGAGGAGUCCUGUCCUGAUGACCUGACUUCAAGAUGCUACUUUAGAAGAUGCUGAAGACUCACUACAGUCUGUUGCAGAGGGCUGUCCAACACGGCAAUCGCUGCUGACCCCAGACUCCUGUCCAGACCUGGGGAUGUCAAUGUGGAGUCGAGAGAAAAGUUCCUUCCCAACAAGACGCAUUUAGAACAGCCACCACCAUCUGCAGCUGGGGCUUUUGUGCGAGGUGUGGACUUCUGAACCGCUCGCGGACACGUCAGCCACUGCCUGGACUCGGAAGGGCAACUGCAGAAGUCAAGGUCGUCAUCCACUGCGAUGGACAAACAUCGUCGUCUCGUAUGAAUGCAGACAGUUUUCAGCAAUUGUACCUGGAUUUGUGGAACAAAGUAACUGAAUAUUUUUUGGUGUGGAUUGACUGUUGACUUCGUUAUUGCAGUAAUUUUGGAUGAUAGAUGAAACAGUUUAUUCUCUAUUCUCUUCUGGCUAAGAUCGGAUCCUUAAUAUUUUGUAACAUUCGACUGGCACUUAAAUGAUUGGUAUAGAGAUUGCAAUAUUUGAAGAAUUUUUUGUGAAACUGUUAGUAAUAAGCAUUUUGUUGCAAUUUUGGACAUGAUGAUAGAUGUUAUGUGUAAGGAUAGAUUUAGUGGGAUAGUAGGGUUGCUUCCGCAAGUAACCGUGAAACAUUGUUAUUCUCUAGAAUGGCCGGGAAGCAAUGAUUACCACCAGAACAGCAGGUCGAGCACCCCUGUAGUGAAUUAGCUUUGGAACUCGUCGGCCCUACUGUACUCGGGGGACCGACGGAGAUAGUUAACCUAAGAGGUUGUAUGUCAAGGGAACAUGUGUUAUAGAGGUCACGGUACCUGUCACUUGUACUUAAGAAGCUGCGGCGGUAGCACUUGGGAAAGCCCCUAGCGUUCCUUGUUUGUUUUGGAUAUCAACUACUUGUCGAACACUGCUCAUGCUCAAAAGACGUUGACUGAUAUUAUUGAUUAUUGCGAGGACCAAUUUGGGGAAGUCCCGUAUCCCACAUUUACCGGUUUCAAAGGACACGAACCCAUCACCAAUUAUCCAAAGGUGGGGGCCAAAUUCACUAUUAAUGGGAUUUUUAUUAGAGGAAAAGCGAGUUAACCACGAUUUCUGCUUCGAAAUGUCCGUCAAAACUGACAGUAAGAACUCAAAAUGAUAAAUGAGAAAUACCAAAACCGAUUUAUGUUGACCAAUGGCCGAUUGCAUUUUAUAUCGUUUCGGACCAAAUUUGGGUGGAGGCGGACACCAAAAUCUAGGAAAUAAAAGUUGGGAAACACUUAGCAAGAACAAGAGUUUUUGUGCCUAAGGGCCACCCACUGCCUCGCCUGAAGAAUCUGUCAGCGACUUGAGCGGUUCUGGAACUUUGUAGGAGUUCCAUCCUGCUUUCCCUGGAGCUACCAUAC